UGCAGUCGAGCGCCCCUUCGGGGUGAGCGGCGGACGGGUUAGUAACGCGUGGGAAUAUACCCGACACUAAGGAAUAGCCUCUGGAAACGGAGAGUAAUAUCUUAUACGCCCUUCGGGGGAAAGAUUUAUCGGUGACGGAUUAGCCCGCGUUAGAUUAGAUAGUUGGUGGGGUAAUGGCCUACCAAGUCUACGAUCUAUAGCUGGUUUUAGAGGAUGAUCAGCAACACUGGGACUGAGACACGGCCCAGACUCCUACGGGAGGCAGCAGUGGGGAAUCUUGGACAAUGGGCGCAAGCCUGAUCCAGCCAUGCCGCGUGAGUGAUGAAGGCCUUAGGGUCGUAAAGCUCUUUCGCCAGAGAUGAUAAUGACAGUAUCUGGUAAAGAAACCCCGGCUAACUCCGUGCCAGCAGCCGCGGUAAUACGGAGGGGGUUAGCGUUGUUCGGAAUUACUGGGCGUAAAGCGCGCGUAGGCGGAUUAGUAAGUUAGAGGUGAAAUCCCGGGGCUCAACCCCGGAACUGCCUUUAAUACUGCUAGUCUUGAGUUCGAGAGAGGUGAGUAGAAUUCCGAGUGUAGAGGUGAAAUUCGUAGAUUUUCGGAGGGACACCAGUGGCGAAGGCGGCUCACUGGCUCGAUACUGACNCUGAGGUGCGAAAGUGUGGGGAGCAAAC
rnacentral:rRNA from 1 species